UACAGAGGGGGCAAGCGUUGUUCGGAAUUACUGGGCGUAAAGGGCGCGUAGGCGGCCUUCUAAGUCGAACGUGAAAUCCCCGGGCUCAACCCGGGAACUGCGUCCGAUACUGGAAGGCUUGAAUCCGGGAGAGGGAUGUGGAAUUCCAGGUGUAGCGGUGAAAUGCGUAGAUAUCUGGAGGAAUACCGGUGGCGAAGGCGGCAUCCUGGACCGAGAUUGACGCUGAUGAGCGAAAGCUAGGGGAGCAAACGGGG
rnacentral:rRNA from 1 species